UACAGAGGGUGCAAGCGUUAAUCGGAAUUACUGGGCGUAAAGCGUGCGUAGUCGGUUAUUUAAGUCGGGUGUGAAAGCCCCGGGCUCAACCUGGGAAUUGCAUUCGAUACUGGAUAGCUAGAGUUCGGCAGAGGGAAGCGGAAUUUCCGGUGUAGCGGUGAAAUGCGUAGAUAUCGGAAGGAACAUCAGUGGCGAAAGCGGCUUCCUGGACCAGAACUGACGAUCAGGCACGAAAGCGUGGGGGAGCAAACAGG
rnacentral:rRNA from 1 species